rnacentral:rRNA from 1 species
GAUGAACGCUAGCUACAGGCUUAACACAUGCAAGUCGAGGGGAAACGACAUCGAAAGCUUGCUUUUGAUGGGCGUCGACCGGCGCACGGGUGAGUAACGCGUAUCCAACCUGCCCAUCACUUGGGAAUAACCUUGCGAAAGUAAGACUAAUACCCAAUGACAUCCCACGAAGACAUCUGAAUGGGAUUAAAGAUUUAUCGGUGAUGGAUGGGGAUGCGUCUGAUUAGCUUGUUGGCGGGGUAACGGCCCACCAAGGCAACGAUCAGUAGGGGUUCUGAGAGGAAGGUCCCCCGCAUUGGAACUGAGACACGGUCCAAACUCCUACGGGAGGCAGCAGUGAGGAAUAUUGGUCAAUGGGCGAGAGCCUGAACCAGCCAAGUAGCGUGCAGGAUGACGGCCCUAUGGGUUGUAAACUGCUUUUAUAAGGGAAUAAAGUGGGUCUCGUGAGACUUUUUGCAUGUACCUUAUGAAUAAGGACCGGCUAAUUCCGUG